rnacentral:lncRNA from 1 species
UUCUUUAUUUAGCUGACUGAGCUCUUUUUGCUUAUUUUUCACUGAAAUUGUGCCUUCCGUUAUUAUCUUGUUUAAAGCAUUACUGAAUGUUUUGAACUCUGAUUUGAUAACUCACUGGUGAUAUGGAACAUUGAAUGGAGAUUUGUAGGAGAUUUUUUGCCCAACACAUACUCGUAUGUUGACAGGGCUUUACACAUAUGGUGUCUUUUUAUCCUUAUGUUUGCACCAAUAAUGUGGCUUACAUGUUCUUCAUGUGAUCUGAGAACUAGAUCAGUUUCAUGAGUGAACAAUGGCUAGGCCUUUGACUGACAUGUGAGCCUUGCAGUCAAGUUUUAGGCAUGUCAUAUGGUUUUUUGUCUUUCUCAAUGUUGGCGAAGAGAAUGGCCAAACCAGCUACCGCACAAAGUGUUCUGAAUUUUUAUUUGUAGAAUUUUAAGGCUCACCAAAAUUG